GAGGACAUAGCCCUCUAUGACAGCCUUCCAGUCACGCAAGCUGUCCCACCAUGUCUCUGUGAUUGCAACGAGAUCAUGGCCCUGCGACCGAACGCAGAUCUUGAGCUCAUCCUGUUUAUUUCCCAUGCUCUGUGCAUUGGUAUACAGGCACUUUAGGCAAGCAGCAGGCACAGUUACCCCUGGAGGAAUGCAAGAAGAAAAUUCUGGACAAGUUGCAACUUCACGGGAUCCAACCUGAAUGACAACACGAGAAUAGUAAUCCUCCAGUUUAAUGAGCUGUGGCAGAGCCUUCCUAAUGCCUCUGACACAUGUCCCAGGAAGACAGCACACCUCUCUGGAAAGGUUACCUGGGCGACAAAUGGGGACCUCAGUGCCCCUCAGCAAGAACUCUCCAAUCACUAAGACUCUCCAUUCUUUUUUUUUUGUGGCACUGGUUGUGAUGCA